ACACAGAGUACAUCUCAACCCGGUGGUACCGGGCCCCAGAGUGUCUCCUCACUGACGGGUUCUACACAUACAAGAUGGACCUGUGGAGCGCUGGCUGCGUGUUCUAUGAGAUUGCCAGCCUGCAGCCCCUCUUUCCUGGUGUGAAUGAACUGGACCAGAUCUCAAAAAUCCACGAUGUCAUCGGCACCCCUUGUCAGAAGACCCUCACUAAGUUCAAACACAGCCCCUGAGGCAAGAGGAGGGCCGUGCCAGGCGACAGGGGCCGACUAGUCUGACGGAGCUCCCCAAACUGAGGCUGUCUGGGAUGACCAAACUGUCAUCUUGCUCCAGUCCUGCACUGCGGUCGGUGUUGGGCACUGGGGCAAAUGGAAGAGUCCCCGUGCUGAGACCCCUGAAGUGCGCUGUCGUGAACAAGAAGACAGACACUCAGAAGGACAUCAAACCUCACCUGAAACACUGUCACCUGCCCACGAUCAACAGGAAAGGGGGAGAGUACUGAACAGCCCACCACCUGGCCAUCCUCUUGGACAGCAAGGGCUGGCACUGUGGACAGGCUUAGGCCUCUGUGGCCGAGGGCGGAUGGGCCAGAGGACGCUCAUGUGCUGCUGUUCCUCACAAUGCUGGUGGCCCAGGACAUGCUGCCCUGCAGCCCGUCUCUAUCCACAACCUGGAGCCAUAUGUGUUUGCAACUCCAAUGCAGCUGUACUGAAUGUUUCAGUUUAAUAUAUUUGUAAAACCACCUC
rnacentral:lncRNA from 1 species